AGCGGAGGAAAAGAAACUAACAAGGAUUCCCCCAGUAACGGCGAGUGAAGUGGGAAAAGCUCAACUUUGAAAUCUGGCUGUUUUACAGUCCGAGUUGUAGUCUCGAGAAGUGUUUUCCGCGUUAAACCGUGUAUGAGUCUGUUGGAACACAGCGUCAUAGAGGGUGAGAACCCCGUUCAUGACACGGCUUUUAAUGCUUUGUGAUACACUUUCGAUGAGUCGAGUUGUUUGGGAAUGCAGCUCAAAUUGGGUGGUAAAUUCCAUCUAAAGCUAAAUAUUGGCGAGAGACCGAUAGCAAACAAGUACCGUGAGGGAAAGAUGAAAAGCACUUUGGAAAGAGAGUUAAAAGUACGUGAAAUUGUCGAAAGGGAAACGCUUGAAGUCAGACGUGCACGGGAUUUAUUCCUAUUGCAGGCCAACAUCGGUUUUACGAGCCGGAUAAAGGUACAAGGAAGGUAGCAGUUUCGGCUGUGUUAUAGCCUCGUACUGAAUACGGAUUGUGAGACCGAGGGACGCAGCGCGCCGCAAGGCAAAGGGUCCGCCCUUUUCGCGCUUAGGAUGUUGGUGAAAUGGCUUUAAUCGACCCGUCUU
rnacentral:rRNA from 1 species